GACCUCGCCAGACUCUAAUCCGGGAGUUAGGCUCUUCAACUCCGCCCAGCAGCCCCGAACCUCCGCCCGCACCUCCUCCCGCCCUACCCACAGCCUUCUUGCUGCUCCCAACCCGGCAUGAAAGCUAGGUUUCGGGAUUUACACUCAGUGAUCAGAUGUGAUGACAAAGGCCUAAAUGUACCCAGUGGAUCCAUCUUUCUGAACCAUGUGUUUAAAAAUGAAGGACACGGGCUGGAGAGAUAGAUUGCUCAA